GAUGAACGCUGACAGAAUGCUUAACACAUGCAAGUCAACUUGAACUUCGGUUUGGGUGGCGGACGGGUGAGUCACGCGUAAAGAACUUGCCUCACAGAUAGGGACAACAUUUGGAAACGAAUGCUAAUACCUGAUAUUAUGAUUAUAUGGCAUCGUAUAAUUAUGACAGCUAUAUGCGCUGUGAGAGAGCUUUGCGUCCCAUUAGCUAGUUGGAGAGGUAACGGCUCACCAAGGCGAUGAUGGGUAGCCGGCCUGAGAGGGUGAUCGGCCACAAGGGGACUGAGACACGGCCCUUACUCCUACGGGAGGCAGCAGUGGGGAAUAUUGGACAAUGGACCAAGAGUCUGAUCCAGCAAUUCUGUGUGCACGAUGAAGUUUUUCGGAAUGUAAAGUGCUUUCAGUUGGGAAGAAAAAAAUGACGGUACCAACAGAAGAAGUGACGGCUAAAUACGUG
rnacentral:rRNA from 1 species